rnacentral:rRNA from 1 species
GUGGGGAAUUUUGGACAAUGGGCGCAAGCCUGAUCCAGCAAUGCCGCGUGCAGGAAGAAGGCCUUCGGGUUGUAAACUGCUUUUGUACGGAACGAAACGGUCCUGGUUAAUACCUGGGGCUAAUGACGGUACCGUAAGAAUAAGCACCGGCUAACUACGUGCCAGCAGCCGCGGUAAUACGUAGGGUGCAAGCGUUAAUCGGAAUUACUGGGCGUAAAGCGUGCGCAGGCGGUUUUGUAAGACAGGCGUGAAAUCCCCGGGCUCAACCUGGGAAUUGCGCUUGUGAAUGCAAGGCUGGAGUGCGGCAGAGGGGGAUGGAAUUCCGCGUGUAGCAGUGAAAUGCGUAGAUAUGCGGAGGAACACCGAUGGCGAAGGCAAUCCCCUGGGCCUGCACUGACGCUCAUGCACGAAAGCGUGGGGAGCAAACAGGAUUAGAAACCCCUGUAGUCC